AGGAAGGAAAAUCAGGGACAAAGCUGCUGAAUAGAGGGAGGUAUCAAUGAGCGGGGGGCGGGGGGGAAUUAGACUAGGUAAGAAAGAAACACCAGAGAAGUGCAGAAGGGGAAGAGACAAGAAACAAGAGGGAGAUGAGAGAAAGGGGAUGGGCAAAGAGACUACAAGAGAAGAGAAAGGAGAAGAAGCACAGAAGGAGUGGAUGGGGGUGAGAACCUCGUCUGAUUUCUUUAGCUUCAGGUCACAGGCGUGAAUCCAUCUUUCGUUGUCAAAGUCUACUAGCAAGUUUAGUAAGUAUAAAGCAAUGUACAGAACCAAAGCUGCUGAAAGGUCAGAGAAUUAUCUACUUGCUCCAUUCAAAGAUAAGGAAACAGUAAGUUAUAUCCACUAGAUUUUAAACAAUACAGCUGAUGGUACAGGGAGAAACAAACAAACCACUACAGCGGUUCAUCCCACAGACAGUAUGCAUUGUACUCACUCUUGCCAAAUUAAUCCAAGGACAAAUCAUUCACAUUUGUUUCCUGACAAAACUACUGUUUGUCAAACAGCUCUUUGCAGCAUGGAAGGAUGCAGUUUCCAGGAAUGAAUUACCUGACCUAACUGAUCCAUCCCUUUUGGAAGGUAAGAAAUACAUUACACAUGCCAUUGCCCACAACAGUCAAUGGUUCUGGUCAUAUUCAGAAGUGGAAGAAAAGGUAACUGAUGAAAUCUGCAUGUCUCUAAAGAAGGGAAGUUGAGAUACACAAGGACACAAGAAGCUGCUGUACAGAACACUGGAACACAAACUGGGAGCUGCUUCUUCAGACGUAAGUAAAGCAGCUGGCAAUUCUAACCAGUUAUAGUAAUAGCGCCUCCUUUCUAGAUAGGGCUGUGGAUUGUUCCUACAAAGAGGUAGCAGUAAUGUUAUUUCAAAAUAAAAUAAAAUAAAACAAAAUAAUUGCAGCAUAAAAAGGAGCUUUAACCUUCUCUUCCAUUUUCAGAGAUGAGUUAAUCCACUGACUGCAGGAUUGAUCAUUCUUGCCUAUGGACAAAAGAGAAGAAGAAAUCAGUGGAACUGAUCAUUUCUAUCAAGAGGUAAGGAAUCCAUCUCCUCAGAGUGCAGGGCCAGGAAUCACAGUUUCUAUUUCUAUUUUUAGGUGAAAUGAAGGUCUUACCAUUCAAGGAGGAAGAUAGGAGGCUGCUGAAUUAAGGGUAAAGUCAGACAGGUGCUAUACCUGCCCAGAGAGAAAAAAGCAUCUUUUCCUUCUACUCUGGAAAAAACCAAAAAUGUUCCAAUUUCUGCUUCAAGUUUUAACCCAUCUAGCUGGCCAUGAGCAUCCAAGAAUAAAAACCAUGUGGUAGACCUUAAUGAAAAGCAAAUUAGCAAUGAAAAGUCUCUACGGGACUAAUGAUCAGGCUGCUAAGUAACCGUCUCCAUUGAAAGCACUUCAAGGCUGGUAACAAGUCAUAAUAGCAACUACAAUUCUGUCAAACUACCCGAUUGCAGGUUUUGCUGAUUUGAAAUGUGAAUGGGUGGACAUUCCUACUAGAAAGAAGGGAGGGGAAAUGGCUGUCCUCCACAAGAGGUAAGAAAUACCAGACUCCACAUAGCCAUGUGUAUAUCAAGCAGUGUCAAUUUCACUUUCAGGUAGAAGAACUGGUUGUUGACCUUACCUGAGAAUGUGAAAAACAAACACAAAAGUUAAAGCCUCAUGGACUUUCCCGAUGUUCAAUACAUGGAGGAAAUAACAGCCUCUUGGAAGAAUCAAGGAAAUAAAGAAAACUCAAAUACUGGACUGUACAGUUCAAAACCGGACAGCUGGCAACCCUACUCCUUGAUUGUUACUGCAGAUCACAUAUCUCCAAAUGGAAGGAGACUAGAGGACUAUUGUGCUCUAGAAGGGAUUAAUGCAAUUGGAAUGAGCUGAGCCAGGCAUAUCAAUUGGUAAGAAAAACCAAAAAAAACCCUCUCAUUCUUUAACAUUCAAGUGGAAAUGAAUGGAUCCUCUCAUUCUUUCAGAUGUGGGAAAUGCAGCUGAACUGAACUCUGAGGAUGAUAAAACUUUAGGAAGUUCCUAAAACAUCCCUCACUGAGGCCAAGAGGUAAGGAACUCACCUGAGAACGUUGGAGAAGGAAUUAACGGAUCUGGUUUCCUUUUCAGGUGACAGAAAUGCAGUUAGUUUUCAAUCCUUGUGAGGCCCAAUCAUCAGUAGUCCCAUUAUUAAGAAUAAAGGAAGAUGUAGCCAAAAUCUGCAGCGAGGAAGGAAAAUUUACCUUCUGUGGCUAAAAGGGGAAGACUCAUCACCAUCAAGUUUCAAACCCACAAUAUAGCAGGCCGACAAGGAGGUGAGUGUUUGUGUUUCUGUUGUACAAACUGCUUGACAAUUUGUUCCCUUUGGCAACCUUUCUGAGACAGUAAAACCAAUGAGGAACCA